rnacentral:rRNA from 1 species
GUUCAACGGCCGCGGUAUCCUAACCGUGCGAAGGUAGCGUAAUCACUUGUUCUUUAAAUGUGGACUAGUAUGAAUGGCACUACGAGGGUUAUACUGUCUCCUUUUUCUAAUCAGUGAAACUAAUUUUCCCGUGAAGAAGCGGGAAUGUAACUAUAAGACGAGAAGACCCUAUGGAGCUUUAAACAACCCAGCAAUUACUUCUAAAAUUUUAAAUUUCAGAAUAUUCAUUCUUUAAGUAGUAUGUUUGCAAGUUUUUGGUUGGGGUGACCAUGGAGAAUAACAUAACCUCCACAUUGAAUGAAUUCCCUUCUAAGCUGAAAAUCACCAAUUGAAGCAUCAACACACUGACAUCUAUUGACCCAAUAUAUUUGAUCAACGAACCAAGUUACCCUAGGGAUAACAGCGCAAUCCACUUCAAGAGCCCCUAUCGACAAGUGGGUUUACGACCUCGAUGUUGGAUCAGGGUAUCCCAGUGGCGCAGCUGCUACUAAAGGUUCGUUUGUUCAACGAUUAAAACCC